rnacentral:rRNA from 1 species
UACGAAGGGUGCAAGCGUUAAUCGGAAUUACUGGGCGUAAAGGGUGCGUAGGCGGUUCGUUAAGUCUGUUGUGAAAUCCCCGGGCUCAACCUGGGAAUGGCAAUGGAUACUGGCGGGCUAGAGUGUGUCAGAGGAUGGUGGAAUUCCCGGUGUAGCGGUGAAAUGCGUAGAGAUCGGGAGGAACACCAGUGGCGAAGGCGGCCUUCUGGACCAAUACUGACGCUCAUGCACGAAAGCGUGGGGAGCAAACAGG